UACGUAGGGACCGAGCGUUGUCCGGAUUCAUUGGGCGUAAAGAGCUCGUAGGCGGCUGUUCAAGUCGAACGUGAAAACUCGGAGCUCAACUCCGAGCCUGCGUUCGAGACUGGAUGGCUAGAGUGCGGUAGGGGAGACUGGAAUUCCUGGUGUAGCGGUGAAAUGCGCAGAUAUCAGGAGGAACACCGGUGGCGAAGGCGGUUCUCUGGGCCUUACCUGACACUGAGGAGCGAAAGCGUGGGGAGCGAACAGGA
rnacentral:rRNA from 1 species